UUAAUUUGAUUUGGUUAACCGCGGUGGAUUUUCUUGAAAUAAUUCGAACUGUCAAAAAUCCACCAAAGCAUCUACCGGUGGAUACUUUUCUACCACAGAUUUUUGUGCGAUCAAUGUGGUAGAUGCUUUGGUGGAUUUUUGACAGUUCGAAUUAUUUCAAGAAAAUCCACCGCGGUUAACCAAAUCAAAUUAACAAAAGCCCUCUGGGGAUGUUUACGAAAAAGUCAUUGUUCGUGUCAUACAACUAGGUUGGAGUAAACUAUGUCCGGGUAUAAUGAGGUUUACCUCAUUAGCCGAGCCAUAUAACUUGCACCAUGUCUCCAGCAGCUGAUAUUUCUUGCCGGCGUCAAGGGAAAAUGAUUGUAAAAUAAGCGUGACCGGAAUUCUCCAUAAUGUGUUGCAAUUAUUAGUGAAAAUAGUAAAAUAAACCUUUCCAUUAACCCAA